UACAGAGGUCUCAAGCGUUGUUCGGAUUCAUUGGGCGUAAAGGGUGCGUAGGUGGCGCCGUAAGUCAGGUGUGAAAUUUCGGAGCUCAACUCCGAAACUGCAUUUGAUACUGCGGUGCUUGAGGACUGGAGAGGAGACUGGAAUUUACGGUGUAGCAGUGAAAUGCGUAGAGAUCGUAAGGAAGACCAGUGGCGAAGGCGGGUCUCUGGACAGUUACUGACACUGAGGCACGAAGGCCAGGGGAGCAAACAGG
rnacentral:rRNA from 1 species